UCACUUUCAACAUCGGAUCUCUUGGCUCUCGCAUCGAUGAAGAACGUAGCGAAGUGCGAUAAGUAAUGUGAAUUGCAGAAUUCCGUGAAUCAUCGAAUUUUUGAACGCAAAUUGCACUCUCUUCGGAGAGUAUGCCUGUUUGAGGGUCAGU
rnacentral:rRNA from 1 species